rnacentral:rRNA from 1 species
UGGGAAUCUUCCGCAAUGGACGAAAGUCUGACGGAGCAACGCCGCGUGUAUGAUGAAGGUCUUCGGAUUGUAAAGUACUGUCAUUGGGGAAGAACGGUUUUCUUGAAAAGAUUGAGAAGACAUGACGGUACCCAAGGAGGAAGCCCCGGCUAACUACGUGCCAGCAGCCGCGGUAAUACGUAGGGGGCAAGCGUUGUCCGGAAUUAUUGGGCGUAAAGGGCGCGUAGGCGGGCUUUUAAGUCCGGUGUGAAAGAUCAGGGCUCAACCCUGAGAGUGCAUCGGAAACUGGAGGCCUUGAGGACAGGAGAGGAAAGUGGAAUUCCACGUGUAGCGGUGAAAUGCGUAGAUAUGUGGAGGAACACCAGUGGCGAAGGCGACUUUCUGGACUGUAACUGACGCUGAGGCGCGAAAGCGUGGGGAGC